rnacentral:rRNA from 1 species
AUGCCUCAAUCAUCUGAGAACAGCUCAGAUAAGAAAAUCUCAGUCAAGAAAAGGUCGGUAAAGCCUUCAAGAAGGCUCCUUGGAGAAAUCAUGAUUCCUACAUUUGUCCCAGUAGAUUUCAAAUUCAUGAACAAAGCCAGAGCACUCCAUGAAUACCUAUUCAGCAAAGAAGGACAGGACAAAUGCGGAGAUCUAAACGUAUAUAUUAGCUCGACGCGACCCGAUUGGAUUACAGGAAAACAAAUAAUGGAACAGCUAAAGAAAGGAGAUGGUGGACAGAUGGAGGGCUCCAUCGCAAAUGCAUUGUUCGACGAAUGGACAUCGCAGCAACAAUACAACACAACCGAUAAAGUCAUACUUCCCGCAGAAUUUACAAACCUCGUGCUCGGUGUUAAAAUUGGAGAAGAAGGAGGACUAGCAGAAUUCAAUGAGGAAGAAGCACUGAAAGAGUUUGCACCCGUUGUAAUAGGGGAGGAACUUUUAAAGAAAAAGCUGAUUAUGAUACCUCACAACACAGGUAAACACUACACAAUGUACGUGCUCAACAAGUACACGAACUCCAUCAACAUACUUGACUCACUGAAUUACAAACACGAAGACGAAAAAAAUUAA